rnacentral:rRNA from 1 species
UACAGAGGGGGCAAGCGUUAUUCGGAAUUAUUGGGCGUAAAGGGCGCGUAGGCGGCUUUGCAAGUGACGGGUGAAAUCCCUCGGCUUAACCGAGGAACUGCCUGUCAGACUGCAUGGCUUGAGACCGGGAGAGGUGAGUGGAAUUCCCAGUGUAGCGGUGAAAUGCGUAGAUAUUGGGAGGAACACCAGUGGCGAAGGCGGCUCACUGGACCGGUACUGACGCUGAUGCGCGAAAGCGUGGGGAGCAAACAGGG